UACGGAGGGUGCGAGCGUUGUCCGGAAUCAUUGGGCGUAAAGGGCGCGUAGGUGGCCUGGUCAGUUCGUGGUGAAAGCGCGGGGCUCAACUCCGCGUCGGCCAUGAAUACUGCUGGGCUGGAGCACUGUAGAGGCAGGCGGAAUUCCGGGUGUAGCGGUGGAAUGCGUAGAGAUCCGGAAGAACACCGGUGGCGAAGGCGGCCUGCUGGGCAGUGGCUGACACUGAGGUGCGAAAGCGUGGGGGAGCAAACAGGG
rnacentral:rRNA from 1 species